rnacentral:ncRNA from 1 species
ACUGCCCGUCGCUACUACCGAUUGAAUGGUUUAGUAAGGUCGUUGUAGUGGCUUUGCCGCUCGACUGAUGCUGAGAAGAUGAUCUAAUUUAACUAGUUAGAGGAAGUAAAAAUCUUAACAAGGUUUCUGUAGGUGAACCUGCUGAAG